rnacentral:rRNA from 1 species
CAUGUCUAUAUGGUUGUUAUAUAAAGUCUAGCCUGCCCACUGAUUUAGUUUAAAGGGCCGCGGUAUAUUGACCGUGCGAAGGUAGCAUAAUCAUUAGUCUUUUAAUUGAAGGCUUGUAUGAAUGGUUGGACAAAAAGUAAGCUGUCUCAAUUAUAAUAAUUGAAUUUAACUUUUAAGUGAAAAGGCUUAAAUAAAUUAAGGGGACGAUAAGACCCUAUAAAGCUUGACAAUAAUUUAAUUAUACUAUCAAUUGUUAGUAUAACUUGGUUUUAAUUAAUAUUUGUUGUGUUGGGGCGACGAGAAUAUAAUAGGUAACUGUUCUUAAAUAUUUAAUAACAAAUAUAAUUGGAAAUUAGUAUGAUCCUCUAUUAGCGAUUAAAAGAUUAAGUUACUUUAGGGAUAACAGCGUAAUCUUCUUUGAGAGUCCCUAUCGACAAGAAGGUUUGCGACCUCGAUGUUGAAUUAAGGUAUCCUUAUGAUGCAG